GGGCGAUUAGCUCAGUUGGCUAGAGCACCAGCUCGACACGCUGGGGGUCGCAGGUUCGAGUCCUGCAUCGCCCA
rfam:Singulisphaera acidiphila DSM 18658, complete genome.